AGAAUCAUUCACAAUGGGGGAAACCCUGAUGCAGCGACGCCGCGUGAAGGAAGAAGUAUCUCGGUAUGUAAACUUCUAUCAGCAGGGAAGAAAAUGACGGUACCUGACCAAGAAGCCCCGGCUAACUACGUGCCAGCAGCCGCGGUAAUACGUAGGGGGCAAGCGUUAUCCGGAUUUACUGGGUGUAAAGGGAGCGUAGGCGGCGACGCAAGUCAGAAGUGAAAGCCCGGGGCUCAACUCCGGGACUGCUUUUGAAACUGCGUUGCUAGAUUGCGGGAGAGGCAAGUGGAAUUCCUAGUGUAGCGGUGAAAUGCGUAGAUAUUAGGAGGAACACCAGUGGCGAAGGCGGCUUGCAGGACCGCGAAUGACGCUGAGGCUCGAAAGCGUGGGGAGCAAAC
rnacentral:rRNA from 1 species